AAGCGGGAUUGGGGUGGAUACGUUGUUCUUUAUUCUAUGUGGAUACCUCUUUGCCAUCCGCUUGCAAAAAUCGGUGCAAUGAGUGCGAGAAGUCGCCUGAGAAAAAGUAACAUAUCAUGCCAAGAAAAAUGCGUAGGUGCUUAUUUUUGUCACGACAGUUUGAAGUUGCCGGUUCCUUGAUCUGGUUACUGUGGGUGAUCUCUGCCAGAGCACUUUGGACAACACUGCUCUGAGUGUCUACACCAGGAAGGCUCUGAAGAAUGGACAUGAUAAAGGCUGGGUCCUGGAAUAUGUCGUCGUAUUCAUCAUCACCAACUGCAUCCUGCACAGCAGUCAUUGAGGAUUCAUAUGUUGAAUGACACAGCUUGAGGCAGGGCAGGCUAGUGAUCUUGGUCUUGACUCAACCUAGCUCACCUGUUCUGGAACCUGCUUGGCCUCGUCUGUAUCCAUGGCAUCUUCAUCAACUUCAGCAGGCAGCAUGUCUGGCAGAACUGGCGGGACAAGCUCAGGCACUAAAAGAAUGUGAAACCAAUCAUGGUGUCAUGGUUUCUGGUGCAGCAUCUACUUUUCAAGUCUUCUUCUAGAUUUUUAUUGACCUCCUCUGUAGGGCAGAAGCAUGCAGAAGACUGCACAAAAUGUGGAAACCAACACACAUUGUUAUUGUGAUGGGCAAGCCAUUCUUGAACAUUUUGUGGGGACAUCUCCUACCAAUACCAGGUUUGUUUAAUCAAAAGCUCUGCACAGGACAGCAACCUUCCUGAACUUCCCGGUAACUAUGCUGUUGACAGGAGAGCAACCAGUCAACCUGCUAUAUUAAGGGAGACAGUGUCAGAAGUUGCCAGAGUAGCAUCCCUUGGUGAAUUGGCCAUCUCCUGCCUGACUUCGUAAUCCUGCCAUUGACGUUGCUCCUCCAUGGACACACGCAGCGCCUGAAAUGUAGAAUGACUGAGGCAACUGUGCACAGCAUGGAUGUACCCACCACUCCUAAGCCGCUGCGCUCCAAGCCGGAGGAUGACGUACAUGUGCUAGUGCGCCUACGUACGCAUGUUUGCGCUAUGACAUCACUCGUAGUGACACAUUACCUCGAGAAUUAGUCAAGGCAACAUCUCUUAUUUCUGUAAUCUGUUGAUUGAAUAGAUAAAUUAAAGUUUAGAGAAAUAAUAAAACACAAACCGAGUGUCUGCAUGUUUUU